rnacentral:rRNA from 1 species
AGGAAGUAAAAGUCGUAACAAGGUCUCCGUUGGUGAACCAGCGGAGGGAUCAUUAGAGAGUAUAACAACUCCCAACCCAUGUGAACUUACCUAUCGUUGCCUCGGCGGGGAGAGGUUGCCCGCUAGCCCCUACCCGGGGCUUGCACCCUGCCCUCCCGCCGCCGCAGGUCCGAAAAACUCUGUUUUAUUUUGCAACUCUGAAUCUUAAAAAAAUAAGUUAAAACUUUCAACAACGGAUCUCUUGGUUCUGGCAUCGAUGAAGAACGCAGCGAAAUGCGAUAAGUAAUGUGAAUUGCAGAAUUCAGUGAAUCAUCGAAUCUUUGAACGCACAUUGCGCCCAUUAGUAUUCUAGUGGGCAUGCCUGUUCGAGCGUCAUUUCGACCAUUAAGCCCUGUAGCUUAGCGUUGGGAGCCUGCUGGCCUGGCCUGCAGCUCCUCAAAGUUAGUGGCGGAGUUAGUGUAUACUCUAGGCGUAGUAAUUUUAUCUCGCUUCUGUGGUUGCGCUGGCGCCUGCCGUAAAACACCCAACUUUUAAUAGGUUUGACCUCGGAUCAGGUAGGAAUACCCGCUGAACUUAAGCAU